rnacentral:lncRNA from 1 species
AAAUAUACUUCAAUAAAGUUUUUUAGAUAUCAUAUGUUGUGUUUGUAUGUUUGUGUGGCUUUGUUUUUUUACAACACAUAUAUUGAAAAACCCAACCUUAGAAGUUUGGCAUACGUGAUGUAAUAAUUUAUUAUAAUUAGUUUUCAAAGGUACCAGGAUUAUAAUUUAGUACGUCAUACGCGCGUUUCGUCUACAUUAGACUCAUCAGUGACGCUCAUAUCAAAAUAUUUAUAAAGCCAAACACGUACAAAGUUGAAGAGCAGUGAGGAUCCAAAAUUCCAAAAAGUUGUGCCAAAUAACACAUUUAACAUUAAAUUUAAGUAUUAAAAGUGUAAAUUAAGUGAUUUUGUAUUAAAAAUGUACUAUUGACUGAAGCACGUCAUUAUUUUGCUCUCUGUGAGGCUCUGACAUUCCUUAAUGUUCUGUACAGCUUUUGACUAUGUUACAUAGUAACCGUUGUUAUGAUAACGUUUUUGAGGUUCAAAUUAGGGAUACAAAUGUUGUAUAUACCCUAGCAGUUUUCUAAAUAUAUACUGACAAUUCUGUGUUGUUAUCCAAUCACAAACCUCGACACAUUUGUAAUCCGUAAUAUACUUUAAUAAAUAUGUUAGAACAAAUAUACUACACAAUGUAAUUAAGCUUUUCUGCUUAUUUUGAAAAUGUACCUACAUUAUUUAUGUCACUAAUAUUUCUGACAGCUUGUUUCUAUACUUGAAUUAUGAGCUGAUAUAUGAUAUAUUUACAAAUAUAUAGUGUGUAUGUAUAUAUAGUUUACAGGUCUAUCUAAAUAAAAUUGCAAUCAUGUAUACUAUGUAUAUAUAUAUAUACAAACAACAUUUACUUUAUUUUUUAAUGACUGGCUAUACAUUGGACUUUCUUAUUUUUAUUGAAACUUUUUUACUCUUAUUUUCCUAUUCAUCUGUAAAAGUGGAAGAAAUCAAAUUUGUUAUCAAUACACUCAAGUGAACAUGGUGUAUUUAUUGACUUUUGAGAAACUGUUUCAAUUAACAAAACGAGAAAAGAUGUUAUCUGAUGACACAAUUGAUGA